CGGAGAAUGUUAUCACGGGAGACACACGGCGGGUGCUAACGUCCGUCGUGAAGAGGGAAACAACCCAGACCGCCAGCUAAGGUCCCAAAGUCAUGGUUAAGUGGGAAACGAUGUGGGAAGGCCCAGACAGCCAGGAUGUUGGCUUAGAAGCAGCCAUCAUUUAAAGAAAGCGUAAUAGCUCACUGGUCGAGUCGGCCUGCGCGGAAGAUGUAACGGGGCUAAACCAUGCACCGAAGCUGCGGCAGCGACACUCAGGUGUUGUUGGGUAGGGGAGCGUUCUGUAAGCCUGCGAAGGUGGCCUGUGAGGGUUGCUGGAGGUAUCAGAAGUGCGAAUGCUGACAUAAGUAACGAUAAAGCGGGUGAAAAGCCCGCUCGCCGGAAGACCAAGGGUUCCUGUCCAACGUUAAUCGGGGCAGGGUGAGUCGACCCCUAAGGCGAGGCCGAAAGGCGUAGUCGAUGGGAAACGGGUUAAUAUUCCCGUACUUGGUGUUACUGCGAAGGGGGGACGGAGAAGGCUAUGUUGGCCGGGCGACGGUUGU
rnacentral:rRNA from 1 species